rnacentral:rRNA from 1 species
CCUUCCGUUAGGGGUGAACCUGCGGAAGGAUCAUUA